AAUUAAAACAGAAAUAUUAGGAUAAAUGGAUGGUAAUUUAGGAUGGCCACACUGACGUUGGCCUUUUUUGGCAUAUUGUGAACCUGCGUCAUUAGAUCCUGUGAUUAGCUGCAUGUGCAUUUCUAAUAUACAUGUGUUGAUAUUUCUUGUUAUGGUUUUGAUUUUUACUGACCAGUGACCUAAUUCUAUCAUGAUCAUCAGGUGGACCUUGGAAUUGCAUUUCA
rnacentral:misc_RNA from 1 species